rnacentral:lncRNA from 1 species
CCCAAAUCUUUCUUCCUCGUCGAGCUCUUCACCUACCAUCCCCAAAUAUUACUUUUUGUUUUAUAGUAACGUAAUUAGCAGAUAUACUUUUUGUUUUUUUACUUUUACUCAAUAGCAAAAAUCAAAAAAAAAUAAAAAUAUUUUUUAAAAAUCAAAAAUCAAAAAAUGUAAUCAAACGCACCCUUAGUGGAUUACAUAAUUGUAACUUUUACUUUAGAUCAAUCAUCAAUCACAUUGAUAAUUUUAUCAUUCAAUAAUUCAUAAUCAUUGAUCAACUAUCUGAUCAGACAAGAAGCUCUUUUGUGUGUGAU